rnacentral:lncRNA from 1 species
AACAUUUCCAUUUAUCUUUAUUCAGAAGCUCUCUGUAUAACAUGGCUCUUUCUUUCAUAUACAUUUUAAAAAUGUUACUUUUACUUUGAAGGGACAGAUGGAAUGUGUCUAGUUUUUCUUAAGUAUGAUAGUGGAUUACAUACUAGUGGUUUUUAAAGUGGUUUUUUAAAUUGGGAAAACGUAGUUUUUUGGUGCAAGUACUGUGUAACUAACCGCUUUAUAAUUGACAACUGUCGCGAGCGCUUUGCCUUGGCUAAUCAGUCUCUGUGAGGUCUCAAGAGGGCCUCGUGGACCUCAUUUCAUUGCUCAUUCUGCUCUUGGAAGGAGUGCGAUGUCCAUGUCUCUAACUGGGCAGAUAUAACUAUUGAGCCACCAGACCCCAAACAGGAGCCCUCAUGUAGGUUACCGGCCUGACCUCCCCAGCGUGUCCACCCACCUCUCCUCACUCCAGGUGACCUUGGGAUUGGCCAUCACUGGAAUAAGUGGGCUCCCCAGGAUUCACCUGUAUUUCACACUGAUCACGUGGCCUUGAACAAGUCACCCACUCUGUGGCCUGAGUUCGAUGACAUGAAGACCAUCAAGUCAGAGUGCUUCCUGGUGCCUCUGAGUGGAUGAGAUGGAGCCAAUAUGGAGACAACUCAGCAAAUGUUUCAUUAUCUGGAUUUAAAAGGAAGAUCAAACCCAUUUAUGUACAAUUCCUCUACAAGGACCCCUGCCAAGCAUCAUUCUUUCUACUGAGGUUUACAACAGAGGCGCCCUGGCCGCCAGAUGUCAUAGGCAGGCAGACGCUGCUUUCCUGGGGUUUUCCUCCCAGCUUGGUAUUUUGGGUCCUUGUUUCCUUCCUCUUUCAGGGGUCCCUCUCCAGAUGCUCCCCAGCUUUGGGUGUGUCCUAUGCUUAUGCCUGCCAGAGGCUGAUGGUUCCCUAGUGGGAAGUGAGCUCAGCCUCCCCAGCCUGUUGGUUUCCUGGAGGCUCUGACCUGAUAGAGUCUCUUUAUCAGGGCACUAAUCUUAUUCAUGAGCACUCCACCCUCAUGACCUAAUCACCUUCCUAAUACCAUCACCUUGGGGAUCAGGAUUUCAACAAAUGAAUUUUAGGAGAACACAAACAUUCAUUCCAUAAAAGUGUCAAUGUCAUAAAAGACAAAGAAUGGCUGUGGGACUAUUACAGAUUGAAAGAAAUUAAAGAAUCCUAGUAACUAAUACCUGAGCUGGGUUGGAUUUUGUAAUGGAGGAAAAAAUUCUCAGAUGUUACUUUUGGGUUAGUUGAUAUAACUGAACUAAGCAGAUUGGAUAAAAAUACUGUUUCCAUCUGGAGAUUGAUAACUGUGGUGAUUAUAUAAGACAGUAAGUAUUCUUACAUUUAGGAAAUACACACAGAAGAAAUUAGGAUUAAAGGGCUAUGAUGUAAGCAGUCUUUGUUCAAAGGGUUGAGAGAGGCAGAGAGAGUUAAAGAUGAUAAAACAAAUGAAGCAAAAUGUUAUCAGUCAGAGACUCGGGGUAAAUGGUGCAUGAGCAUUCUAUAUACUAUUUUCAUUCCUGCCACUUUUCUGGGUGUUUGAAUUAUUGCAAAUAAAAGGCAAGAAAAAGUGAGCA